GACGAACGCUGGCGGCGUGCUUAACACAUGCAAGUCGAACGAUGAAGCCGGAGCUUGCUCCGGUGGAUUAGUGGCGAACGGGUGAGUAACACGUGUGCAAUCUGCCCUCGACUCUGGGAUAACUGCGGGAAACUGUAGCUAAUACCGGAUACGACACCUUGGGGCAUCCCAGGGUGUGGAAAGAAUUUCGGUCAAGGAUGAGCUCGCGGCCUAUCAGCUAGUUGGUGAGGUAAUGGCUCACCAAGGCGACGACGGGUAGCCGGCCUGAGAGGGUGACCGGCCACACUGGAACUGAGACACGGUCCAGACUCCUACGGGAGGCAGCAGUGGGGAAUAUUGCACAAUGGGCGAAAGCCUGAUGCAGCAACGCCGCGUGAGGGAUGAAGGCCUUCGGGUUGUAAACCUCUUUUAGCAGGGAAGAAGCGAAAGUGACGGUACCUGCAGAAAAAGCACCGGCUAACUACGUGCCAGCCGCCGCCGUAA
rnacentral:rRNA from 1 species